GGGGAGACCAUUUUGCUUUCUGCUGAAGACAUGGUAGGGCAUUGGAAUAGAGUUCCUCCCGAGGCUGGGCAUGGUGAGGAAAGAUUUUCAUGAGUGAAGAAAUCAACGUUGGGUAGCGUGGCUUAUACCAAGUUCCUCACCAUCCAAGUAGGGGAUGUGGCAUGCAAAUAGUGGAUGGAUCUCCAAUCAAAUUGUUGCUGUCUCAGCCACUCAUGGCCUGACAAUGCUGGCCUCCUGUCUUUACCACAUACAAGCCCAGUGUAGAUCAUGGACUAAUGAGGAGCAAUUUAACCACACAAGAAGAAAAUUAAUCAGAAGAUUGAAUAAAGAUAUGGAUUUGUAAUACAUUGCAUAAUUCUAGAAAACUGCUUAUUUUUCUUUACUUCAAACAUUUUUCUUACAUGGACUUUUGUUGAUUCUUCUAAUUUUUGGAAAAGGCUACAAGUUUAAUAAAUUUAUCAAAA